GAUGAACGCUGGCGGCGUGCCUAACACAUGCAAGUCGAACGGAACUUUUACGGAAUGAGGCUUCGGCCGAUUGAGGUUUAAGUUUAGUGGCGGACGGGUGAGUAACGCGUGAGUAACCUGCCUUUCACAGGGGGAUAACGUUUGGAAACGAACGCUAAUACCGCAUAAUAUAGCGGAGCCGCAUGACUCUGCUAUCAAAGAUUUUAUCGGUGAAAGAUGGACUCGCGUCCGAUUAGGUAGUUGGUGAGGUAACGGCUCACCAAGCCGACGAUCGGUAGCCGGACUGAGAGGUUGAACGGCCACAUUGGGACUGAGACACGGCCCAGACUCCUACGGGAGGCAGCAGUGGGGAAUAUUGCACAAUGGGCGCAAGCCUGAUGCAGCAACGCCGCGUGAGGGAAGACGGUUUUCGGAUUGUAAAACCUCUGUCUUUGGUGACGAAGAAGUGACGGUAACCAAGGAGGAAGCCACGGCUAACUACGUG
rnacentral:rRNA from 1 species